AAGGUGGAUAUCUAGAGGGCGAGAGAGGGGUGGUGAUUUUUGAAGCUUUACUGUUGGGUCUAAAAUAAAAGGUAAAAGGACUAGCUGACCUGAAUUGGGGUCUGGAAAGGCAAUCAGAGCACGAGUACCGGUCAUUUCAGCAGAGGAAGGAUUGAUUCCCCACCCUACCCAACCGGAAGGAGAGAUGAAGGUACCAGAAAAUACAAGGUCUAGGGUGGCAUUGUGGGCAUGAAAUGUCCAAGCUAUCGAGGCUUGCUGGGUAGGGAGUGUCAUGCAUUUUUCAAAGGUCUUAGUGGGUGUGGUGAUG
rnacentral:lncRNA from 1 species